rnacentral:rRNA from 1 species
UACGUAGGGGGCAAGCGUUGUCCGGAUUUAUUGGGCGUAAAGCGCGUGUAGGCGGCCAGAUAGGUCCGUUGUGAAAACUCGAGGCUCAACCUCGAGCUGUCGACGGAAACCAUCCGGCUAGAGUCCGGAAGAGGAGAGUGGAAUUCCCGGUGUAGCGGUGAAAUGCGCAGAUAUCGGGAAGAACACCUAUGGCGAAGGCAGCUCUCUGGGACGGUACUGACGCUGAGACGCGAAAGCGUGGGGAGCGAACAGG